rnacentral:rRNA from 1 species
GACGAACGCUGGCGGCGUGCCUAAUACAUGCAAGUCGAACGCAGUGGGGACGGGUGAGUAACACGUGGGUAACCUCCCAUCAGAGGGGAUAACACUUGGAAAAAGGUGCUAAACCGAUACUGAUGGAUGGACCAGCGGUGCAUUAGCUAGUUGGUGAGGUAACGGCUCACCAAGGCCACGAUGCAUAGCCGGCCUGAGAGGGUGAUCAGCCACACUGGGACUGAGACACGGCCCAGACUCCUACGGGAGGCAGCAGUGGGGAAUCUUCGGCAAUGGACGAAAGUCUGACCGAGCAACGCCGCGUGAGUGAUGAAGGUUUUCGGAUCGUAAAGCUCUGUUGUUGGAGAAGCGGUAUCUAACCAGAAAGCCACGGCUAACUACGUGCCAGCAGCCGCGGUAAUAC